rnacentral:misc_RNA from 1 species
UCUCUCUCUCUCUCUCUCUCUCUCUAAGAAGAGUUCUUCUGUGAGUUUUCUCCAUUUCUUUCUCAUUUUCAAAUUGUUGAAAAUGAAGACAUCAUGUGUAGCAAUUUGCAGUCUAAUGGUGCUUCUCCUGGCAGAGGCACAAGUGACACUGGCAGUGACAUGUAUCCCAACAGAGCUGAGCUCAUGUGUGAGUGCAAUCACAUCAUCUUCUCCACCAUCGAAACAGUGUUGUGACAAGAUCAAGCAACAGAAGCCUUGCCUUUGCCAGUACCUCAAGAACCCAAACCUGAAGAAGUUCAUCAACACACCAAAUGCCAGGAAAGUUGCCAGCACUUGUGGAACUCCAUUCCCCAAGUGCUAGAUAAAGAUAGCUAGCUAGUCAGAUGAGUCUCAAA